rnacentral:piRNA from 1 species
UAGUUCACCAUGAUUCCCCUCAAAGCC